CGUAGGUAACCUGCCUCUUAGCGGGGGAUAACUAUUGGAAACGAUAGCUAAUACCGCAUAAAAGUCGAUAUCGCAUGAUAUUGAUUUGAAAGGUGCAAUUGCAUCACUAAGAGAUGGACCUGCGUUGUAUUAGCUAGUUGGUGAGGUAACGGCUCACCAAGGCGACGAUACGUAGCCGACCUGAGAGGGUGAUCGGCCACACUGGGACUGAGACACGGCCCAG
rnacentral:rRNA from 1 species